GGAGGGGUGGCCGAGUGGCUUAAGGCGCACGCUUGGAAAGCGUGUGUACGCAAGUACCGUGAGUUCGAAUCUCACCCUCUCCGCCA
rnacentral:tRNA from 1 species